GUUCUAGCUUCAGAAGCACAUAUACUAAUAUUGGAAAAAUACAGAUAAGAUAAGCGUGGCCCCUGCACAAAGAUGACACACAAAUUCGUGAAGCUUCCAUAUUUUUA